UCGUAACAAGGUUUCCGUAGGUGAACCUGCGGAAGGAUCAUUACCGAGUGAGGGCCCUCUGGGUCCAACCUCCCACCCGUGUCUAUCGUACCUUGUUGCUUCGGCGGGCCCGCCGUUUCGACGGCCGCCGGGGAGGCCCUGCGCCCCCGGGCCCGCGCCCGCCGAAGACCCCAACAUGAACGCUGUUCUGAAAGUAUGCAGUCUGAGUUGAUUAUCGUAAUCAGUUAAAACUUUCAACAACGGAUCUCUUGGUUCCGGCAUCGAUGAAGAACGCAGCGAAAUGCGAUAAGUAAUGUGAAUUGCAGAAUUCAGUGAAUCAUCGAGUCUUUGAACGCACAUUGCGCCCCCUGGUAUUCCGGGGGGCAUGCCUGUCCGAGCGUCAUUGCUGCCCUCAAGCACGGCUUGUGUGUUGGGCCCCCGUCCCCCUCUCCCGGGGGACGGGCCCGAAAGGCAGCGGCGGCACCGCGUCCGGUCCUCGAGCGUAUGGGGCUUUGUCACCUGCUCUGUAGGCCCGGCCGGCGCCAGCCGACACCCAACUUUAUUUUUCUAAGGUUGACCUCGGAUCAGGUAGGGAUACCCGCUGAACCUAAGCAUAU
rnacentral:misc_RNA from 1 species